rfam:Hordeum vulgare subsp. vulgare, WGS project CAJW01000000 data, contig: morex_contig_39248
UACAUACUCCCUCCCUCCUAAAAUUCUUGUCUUAGGUUUGUCUAGAAAUAGAUGUAUCAAAAUACUAAAACAUGACUAGAUACAUUCAUAUCUAAACAAAUUUAAGACAAGAAUUUUGUGACAGAGGGAGUAUGUU